CUCUUGCUGAGCAUAUCUAUUUGUCUCCAUUGAAAUGUGUUCCAUUAUUUGGCGAUCCCAUAUAGCAGUAAAUGCCUCAUAUGGGCUCGCCAAUGGAACUGUGGGACCACAAUUAAUUUCGGAGAAUGGUUCCCUUCUCAAUUCAGGAGGAAUUUGAGAUUCUGAAAACCCUCUCCACUUAAAAUCAAACUUAUUGUAUGGCUCGGCGCUGGCUUCGGGGUCGGCACUGGGUUCAGGCUCUGCGUUGGGUUCGGGCUCGGGCUGGGCGCUAGGUUGGGGCUGCAGGCCGGAGGGAAGUUGAGGUGGCCACUCAAAGUCUAUAGCAGCGUUUAUCGGUGGCACCUCAGUGUCUUCCUCAGACAUAAAAAGUCUUUCAGUUCUCCUCAGCAGAUGCACUGGUUGAACUAAAUCUUCAUCUUCAUCUUCAUCAUCGCUGUCAGCAUCCUCUUCACUGCCUGUAUAAAUAAUAAUAAUAUACUGUAGUCUGUUUUACCUAUGUAAACAGAUAUAUAUAUAUAUAUAUACUACUAAAAGAUAGGUCUGAAAGAAAAAUAUUCACUUACCAUGAUUCAAGAUUCGGGCAAUUUCCGCGUCCCUCAAAGGACGAGCCCUGACGGCUGAUGAUGAAGAUGAAGCCCCGUCUGGAGGAAUCCUUAGAAAAUAAGAAAAUCAGUACCAGUAUCGUAAUAACUAAAAAUAUAAUUUUGCUCAUUUUUGAACUUACAAGCACCGCCUCGAAGCCGGAACCUCCUCGCCCUUUCCAGUAGAGUCAUUAUUUCUAUAACAACAAAAAGAUGUAAAUAUUUUUUCUUGUUUCAUAAAAUAAAACUUUAGAAACAAAUAAAAUAAAAUGAAAACUUACGCGGGUCUCUUUACAGUGGUAAUUCGGGGAGUUGACUGCCCGCUCCCACCACAUUCAACAUACCUGCAAAUAUAGAGCCGGAGACGGUGGAGCCGAGCACAUCGGAGACUCUUGACUCGUAGAGGGGGAGGGGAGCACCAUUUCUUGUAUGGACGACCAUAAGGAUUGGUAUCUACAAAAAAAAGUGUUAAUUUUAUUACCAUAUACCAGAAUAAUGAAACACUUACUAUAGAAUAAACUAUAAUAAUUUAACAUUAAUUUACCCUUCAGGUACUGUCUUCACUGACUGCAGCUCCCUCCUCCUGCUUUCAUGGAGUGGCCUUUCCAUAGCAUGAACCUCGUUAUAGCUCUGCAACGAUCCACUAGUUACACUGAAAUAUAAAUUAAUUGUUUAAAAUACUUUAUUCAUUAUUAAUAAUAUUUAUAAGCAUUUUGUUAGUAAAAAUAAGAAGCAAUUACGAGUCAGAAACUGAGGGCCUAUGAGCACCAAGACCAGCAGUACCAGCACCAAGACCACAAACACGACCGCCGCGCGUGCGGACACGGCCCCUACCCUGCGCACCACCUCGAACCCCGCGCGUAGUCGCUCCACUUCCACGUCGUUUCCGAGAUCGUCGUUGUCUUCUUAUAUUAAAAAAGCAGAAAAAAUCAAAGUUCAUGCAAACACCGAAAAAAGAAACAAUGCAAAAGAAAAUAAUGCAAAAAAUAAAAAAGUGCAAACAUAUUUUUUCGUAAAGCUUCUUUAAAAAUAGCUCAAUACAAAAACCAAAAGAAAAACCGAUAAUGAAAAAAAUUGCAAAAAUAAAUUAAAAUUUUAAUGCAUACAAAAACAUUCCUGAGGCAUAUCCAUACUUAGGAAGCAUCCCAGAAACACAAAAAACAUGACUGUCAAACGUAUGCUGUUGACGUAACCGGCUCCCGGUAUGAGACUAUGUACUUUACAUUUUCAUUACAAAUUUCAUGUUUUUGAAAGAAAUAUAAUGCUACCUAUGAAAUAUA